GUCUAUGGCCACACCACCGUGAACUCGCCCGAUCUUGUCUGAUCUCAGAAGCUAAACAGGGUUGGGCCUGGUAAGUACUUGGAUGGGCGACUGCCUAAGAAUCCUGGGUGCUAAAGGCU
rnacentral:rRNA from 1 species